rnacentral:rRNA from 1 species
CAGGUAGUCAAGUAGAAUAUACUAAGGCGCUCGAGUGAUCCGUGGCUAAGGAACUAGGCAAAUUAACCCCGUAACUUCGGGAGAAGGGGUGCCUGCAGCAAUGCAGGCCGCAGAGAAAUGGCGGUGGCGACUGUUUAACAAAAACACAGGGCUUUGCAAAAACGAAAGUUGAAGUAUAAGGCCUGACACCUGCCCGGUGCUGGAAGGUUAAGAGGAGAGGUCAUCGCAAGAGAAGCUUUGAAUCGAAGCCCCAGUAAACGGCGGCCGUAACAAUAACGGUCCUAAGGUAGCGAAAUUCCUUGUCGGGUAAGUUCCGACCUGCACGAAUGGUGUAACGAUCUCCGCUCUGUCUCAGCCACGAGCUCGGUGAAAUUGUGGUAUCAGUGAAGACGCUGAUUACCCGCAACGGGACGGAAAGACCCCAUGCACCUUUACUAUAGCUUAACAUUGAUUUCGGGUAAGUGAUGUGUAGAAUAGGUAGGAGGCUUUGAAGCAGUGGCGCUAGCCAUUAUGGAGCCGAAAUGUGAAAUACUACCCUUUACUUACUAGAAGUCUAACUCUGCAAAGAGGACAUUGUUUGGUGGGUAGUUUGACUGGGGUGGUCGCCUCCGAAAGGGUAUCGGAGGCUUUCAAAGGUUCGCUCAGAACGCUUGGUAACCGUACGUAGAGUGCAAUAGCAUAAGCGAGCUUGACUGUGAGGCCGACAAGCCAAGCAGGUACGAAAGUAGGAUAUAGUGAUCCGGUGGUUCCGCAUGGAAGGGCCAUCGCUCAUAGGAUAAAAGCUACGCUGGGAUAACAGGCUGAUCCCUCCCAAGAGCUCAUAUCGACGGGGGGGUUUGGCACCUCGAUGUCGGCUCGUCACAUCCUGGGGCUGGAGAAGGUCCCAAGGGUUCGGCUGUUCGCCGAUUAAAGUGGCACGCGAGCUGGGUUCAGAACGUCGUGAGACAGUUCGGUCCCUAUCUGUUGUGGGCGUUAGAAAAUUGAGGGGCCCUGACUCUAGUACGAGAGGACCGAGUCGGACAAACCGCUAGUGUACCUGUUGUUUCGCCAGAAGCACCGCAGGGUAGCUAUGUUUGGAUGAGAUAAGCGCUGAAAGCAUCUAAGUGCGAAACUCACCUCAAGAUAAGUUUUCUUUAUAAGGAUCGUGGUAGACUACCACGUUGAUAGGCUACAGAUGUAUAGGCAGUAAUGUCAAAGUCGAGUAGUACUAAUUGUCC